rnacentral:rRNA from 1 species
UUAGAGUUUGAUCCUGGCUCAGGAUGAACGCUGGCGGCGUGCCUAAUACAUGCAAGUAGAACGCUGAAGCUUGGUGCUUGCACCGAGCGGAUGAGUUGCGAACGGGUGAGUAACGCGUAGGUAACCUGCCUCUUAGCGGGGGAUAACUAUUGGAAACGAUAGCUAAUACCGCAUAAAAGUCGACAUCGCAUGAUGUUGACUUGAAAGGUGCAAUUGCAUCACUAAGAGAUGGACCUGCGUUGUAUUAGCUAGUUGGUGAGGUAACGGCUCACCAAGGCGACGAUACAUAGCCGACCUGAGAGGGUGAUCGGCCACACUGGGACUGAGACACGGCCCAGACUCCUACGGGAGGCAGCAGUAGGGAAUCUUCGGCAAUGGGGGCAACCCUGACCGAGCAACGCCGCGUGAGUGAAGAAGGUUUUCGGAUCGUAAAGCUCUGUUGUAAGAGAAGAACGAGUGUGAGAGUGGAAAGUUC